GGCGUCGUGGCGCAAUGGCUAGCGCAUAGAGCUUCUAAGAUCGUGUUAAUCAAUGGGCAAAUCCAUUAAUAGCGAAAUCACUCUAAGGCUGCGGGUUCGAGUCCCGCCGACGUCU